rnacentral:rRNA from 1 species
GAUGAACGCUGGCGGCGUGCUUAACACAUGCAAGUCGAACGAUGAUCCCCAGCUUGCUGGGGGGAUUAGUGGCGAACGGGUGAGUAACACGUGAGUAACCUGCCCUUGACUCUGGGAUAAGCCUAGGAAACUGUGUCUAAUACCGGAUAUGACUCCUCAUCGCAUGGUGGGGGGUGGAAAGCUUUUGCGGUUUUGGAUGGACUCGCGGCCUAUCAGCUUGUUGGUGAGGUAAUGGCUUACCAAGGCGACGACGGGUAGCCGGCCUGGGAGGGGGACCGGCCACACUGGGACUGGGACACGGCCCAGACUCCUACGGGAGGCAGCAGUGGGGAAUAUUGCACAAUGGGCGAAAGCCUGAGGCAGCGACGCCGCGUGAGGGAUGACGGCCUUCGGGUUGUAAACCUCUUUCAGUAGGGAAGAAGCGAAAGUGACGGUACCUGCAGAAGAAGCGCCGGCUAACUACGUGCCAGCAGCCGCGGUAAUAC